rnacentral:lncRNA from 1 species
CGGGCUUUCGCGGAGCUCGGCGGAGAGCUCGAGGCCGGCGGGGGUUCAUGGACAGUACCUGAGGCUCCGGCGGCGCGGCGUUCGGCUCCGGCUUUCCCUCGGACCUCCGCUGCCCGGGCAAAUGCAUACAAAUGCAUUUGGGAGCCGAGAGGAGAAGGCGAGGACGCAUCUCUCCCGCGGCACCAACGAAGAUCCUCCUCCUUUGUAUGGCAAUAUGUACAGCUGCGGGUGUUGCAAAAGCACCCAGACAAGGUGAGAAUACUUUCUUACAAAAGGAUGUCAGUUUAUUUUGUUACCAGAUGGAAAGGGUAAGUGGUUGUUGUUACUAGUGACCCUAAGUUCAGUUCCUGAUGGUGACUUAAAUAUCAGCUACAACAUAAUGAGAGCAAAAGUUUAAAGUAACCAGCGUGGAAAAGAUGACCUUUCAAAAAUGACUCAGAUUUUCAGUCCAUGAAAUUGCUUACAUAUUUAAGCAGACUCUUCAUAAAAGAGAAGUCUUGUAAGGAGAAAAGGCGUUGAUUGUGUCUUCAGUGCAAGUGGGUGUCCUUGGGGGUGGCAAGCUAUGACUGAGUUACCUUUGCACUUCUGAGGACAAACAAGCAAACCAGUGCAUAUAAUGAAGGCUUAGUCUAGGCUGGCAUCAUUAAAGAAAGAAAGUGAAAUUGUGUGUUCUUUUGGUUUUGCAUUCAGAUGCAGAUGUUGGGAAGGAAAUAAGGUUGUCUUGUUUUUUGUCUCUUUUAAUCUGCCAACUGUUACAGCAGCACCAGAUGUUUAUUAUGAGACAGUAUGGGAAUAUUAGCAUCCCAAAGUGGUGGAAGCUAACAUGCUAUUUACUCUUCAGUAGCCAGGAGAGUGGCAGUAUCAGUUCUCUUCCGUAUUCCUUCAUUGUACAGAUGAAGCAAGAAAUAGCUUGUCCUUGGCUGAUAUAGUAACAGUAAUCUUCAUGUAAUAUUCAGCUGAAUGCAAACAGCUGGGUUUCGUGAUUAAGUCAGGGUACAUUCCUGAUAACAUUUUGCUAGAGCCCCGUAGCUACAUCUCCAGCAUCCUGCUGUUGCUUUCAGCAGUGUUUUUUCCUUCUUGCUAUUCCUUGUGCUUGGCAAGGUUUUUUUUUUUUUGUUUUUUUUUUUUUUUUUUUUUGUGAGGGUGAGAUUGGGUGCAUUUUCUCCACCUUCCAUUAACUGCUCAUGGUUUGCCUGUUGAGGUGUUUGCCCACUUUUCCCAUUCAGCUAGAUGGGGACGUGCUUUUGUGAUGAUGGGAGUUUUCCAGGUUGUCUAAUCACUGAGCCAAAUUUGGGGGGGGCUGAGGGGAAAAAAAACUCACCUGACAAGGGCAGCACCCACAGAUGUGUGUGGCCUCCCCACUCUGGGCCUGCGGGGUGGGAGGGGAGAGGAUGGCUUAGGGAGGCAGUUCGUACUUUCCCAGUGGAGCAGGUGAGGGAUGCCAGGCACAGGUCUGAAGUGAUAGCUGGAGUUGUCUUCAUGUCUCCACCCUUCUUUUUUUCUCUUUGUAAAUAAGUAAUUUAUUUUGAUUCUCGUGUUCUACAGCCUGUGGAACUACUUUUCCAAUAGCAUGUCAGGAGACAGCUGUGAAAGCCUCAAAGCCAGCUGGUCACCAGUGUUGGGGUCCUCCAGAUCUAUAGAACUUGCUUCCCUGCUGGUGUGUGUGGGGCAAGGUAGUGGGGUGAGGCCGGUCUCCUCAACUGUAGGUUUAGGAAGCCUAAGGGGAUUUGCUAUAGGAAGGGGUAGUUUGCAUUAAGGAAGAGAACUUUGAAAGAACUGUCACUGUAAGGCACGUCUGUGCAGUUGGUUGUGGAGACAAUCUCUGCAGUUGUGUUGAUGCUGCGUCAUUCUUAAAAUUGUUGUUAGAGUUGUGGAGGGUUUAAGGAGAGAAGUGCUGGCAGAAGAAAUAAGCAGUCACUGUGGAGAGGUGUGGAGCCAUGUGUGUUUCUGUGCCUUGCUCACCCACGCCCCUGAAAUUCACCAGCUUUAGGAGAUGGAAAAAUGUGCCUCCUGAAAAGCAACUGAAUAAGUGCACGUGUCAGAAAUCUCUCCUUAGGAAAUCUUGUAGUUGAAUCAUAGAACUCAAAAAUGUUAGACAAGGAAGCAUAAGUGAAUGAAGCCAUUUUCUCAAAGUUAAAAAAAAAAAAAAAUCUUGAGAAAAACAAGUUCUUGGGGAAGGAGGAAAAGGAAAAAAGUCAGAAUGGCUCAAUAUCCUUCAGUCUAUACAGUAUGCACUGAGGUAGCACUGCUCCAUUCACAGUACUUUAGGGUUUGUCCAGGAAUGGGUUGAUCUGCUCAUUUAUAUAUAAGUUAACACCUAAGCUGGUAUCAAAUCUUUCUUUGCACUUUGUGUUUUGAAAGGAGUAUUCUGUCAAAUAUGAGGACACUAGCGAGAGUAACUAAUGUUCUUUCUUUCCUGAGCUGAUCAGACAGCUAGUGUGUGCCUUACUUGAGAAGCUACACUUAAUGCAUUGUGGUAGGGUGCUAUAAAUUGUGUUCAGUGAAAUACGUGUAAAUACACAGCCUCAGCUUUUAGGAAUAGUUCUUUGAGUUUGGCUUGAGGAUAUGCAGAAUGUGCGUCUCUGGCUGGCUUUGCUGUGCCUGUUGCCCAGCCUUGGUAUCCAGGAAAGUAUCAGUUGCAACCUUGUGUUGUAACUUACCCAACUGCAAAUGCGCAACCACCUAGGAAAUGGGCAACCUGCUGAGUAAUUGAAUGAGUUCUGGUGAAGCUGACAAAUGAAUGAUCUUUGCUUUUCUGUACCCAUGUCAGUAAAAGGAAAACAAAUUGUUUGUACUAGGUUUGCUGAAAUGGAGAGAGCACCCCAAAUAUUCUGUCCUUAGACAAGUCAUGAGCGUGGAGUAUGGAAAAUAAACAACAGACUGAACAGAAGAGUGACAUGGAACACUACUCAGCAUUCUUUUGGGGAUUGUUUUGUUUAUAUCUAUAUAUCUACAUAAUACAUCUCUAUCUAUCUAUAUAUACAAAUAUAUACAUAUAUAUUUGUCCAUAUAUAUAUAUACAUACACUUUUGUUAAGCUUUCCUUCCCUUCACAAUCCAAUUAUGUUGUGAAUUUUACAAGUAAUCCUAGAAAAUGGAAAGAAAGCAACUGACACCAAAAAAACCAAAAAGCUUCUCUUUGAAGAAGAGGAGCAGUUACAGUUUGGGGGACUAAUGGAUUGGGUGAACAGUAAGUGAAGACAGAUGUUGCGCAGACAUGGGUAAACAAAGAAAACUGGCUACUGAUAGGUAAAGAAAGUUGUGGUUGUCAUGCUGGGAGGAAGAGCUAAGAGGGUUGCCUGCUCCCAAAACCCUGUGUACUGCCAAGAGCUUCUGAAAGCUUAAAAAAAAAAAAAAAAUUGGACCAGAAAUGAAGUGACUGGCCAAAAAAGUCUGGAACAGCCUUUUGGCUUGAUGGUGGGUUAAUAGGCAGCAAGUCAGCAAGGAAUAAUUAGCUGGUACUUAAUCUUUUGCUGUUAUUUUUCACACAGGAUUUCUCCAUGCUGAACCUUCUUGAGGCCUGUCAUAGUUUGCAGGAUGUGGAGAAAGCGUUUUAUAUCUCUUCACACUCAAGAGUGCUUUUCCUUUUUUAAAAUAAUUUUUAAACAAUGUGAUGUUUACAAAUUAGAACUGCCAAAAUUUGUCAUUUGAGAUUUAGAAAGAGUGCUCCUUAACAUCAUUUUAAAAUUGGCUGUCCUAUGUCAGUAUGGUAGACCUGUUGUUUUAUUCUUCAGUUACAAUACUUUGGGCGGAGAUAACUUGACACCGUUAUUUUUAAGUGUAACUAUUUAAUGAUAAAUAUUUACAAAUAUCUGCCUAAUACUUCAGAUUAAAAUUGCGACAAUCAAGUACAAGGUCAAGUUGGAAUGGCUUCACUGCUGCAGUGUAUCAGCUGGCUCAACCAGUGCACAGAAGUGCUGGAGCUGUCUCUGAUGCCAUUGGGGAGCUGCUUGCCCCUGUGAGAUUUCUGUAUUACCCAGAGGACUACACAUGCACAACUUUCUCCUCCAUAACUACACCCAGACCAUGCAGGACCAGGGUCCUGGGAAAGUGCGGAGGUUCAUUAACAGAGCUGCAAAGUAGAAUACUUCUCUAUAACCUGACCUCUCUUAUCAGUUUGACAGAUUAACAUACAGCCCAGUAAGUUAAUUGCUCUGAGGCAGAACAUCUUGAGAAAUUGGCGUACGCGUGACUUUCUGCAAAGACAUGCUUUCCCUGUAGUUCUGGCUGGGCUGGCUGCCAGGCCAAUCUUGGCGCUCCUGCAGAUCUCUAACAUGGCUAGAAACACUACAAGGUGUGUAAUUAAUUUUCAAGAUGCACAGUGCGUUCAGGUUGAUGCUUUUGGUUCCAACUUAUAAACCCCUCUCAAGGAAGUCUCAGACUCUCUUCAUAAUUUACUACUGAAACCGGGCCAACAUCUGUGUGUUCUUAAAGUCAUUCAGUAAACAGAGAAAAGGAAGACUGGGAAAGCAAACCUUUUUUCCACUAAAAUCGUGAACAUCUACUUGUUUCAGUUUCUCUUGUCUCUUAAAAUAGCUUCUCUUUGUUUCUUCCAUUUUUGAUAUACCAUUUAGUGGCUUUAUUUGCUUAAAAAAGAGCACUUAGUUGCAUGGUUGAAAAAAAAAAUAAAAAAUACCACCCUUGGCUAAAAUGCUGUGGGAAGCACAGCCUGUUCCCCAUUAGGUUCACUACAUCAGUGCAAUGGUUAAACAAUAUGAAAUAAUAUUAAUCAUUUUAGCUCAGGUCCAGCCAGUUGUUAAAGGAAAAAAGAAAAAAAGCUUCUGUGCAAUAGUGCCUACGAAAACUGUGUGAUGGUCAGCUUCCUCUUGCACAGAAAAUUGAGAGGUUUAGGUUGGAAAGGACCUGAAGCUUGUCUGGUCCUACCCGGUGCUGAGGUCAGGGCCAAUGUCAAUGUUAGCCUGGGCUGCUGGCUGCUGUCCAGCUCUGCGAGGAAGGAGCUUGCUUGCAUGAUGCCCCUGGGCACUGCUUAUUGUGUUAGUAAAUAGCUUGUUCCUUCAUGGAAACAAAACAACCCUCCCUCGAAUGUUAAUAUUUUUCAGAUAAAGGGGAAAAUCAUGGCUUUUUGUUUGUUUGUUUGGUAGGUUGGUUCUUGUUUUAAAGGGGAGGUAGGCAGGAAUUGCCAAAUAAACAGUAUGUUCAUUAACUCUUGUGAGAAGGUUGAUGACAGCAAAUGGGGGGCCUUUCAGUUUUAUGAAU